CAUGCAGGUUCGCCUGGGUCCAGUUGGUGGCGGUAAUGCACCUAUAAGCCUACAAACCCCAUAGAAGAAGAAGGAGAAGAAGAAGCGGACAGGUGUUGUUAAUUAGUCUAAAUAAUGUCUCUUUUGUCCUAAAACGAGACAACUUGUGACUCAAUGAAGAGGAAAUUAACAGAAAAUAUUGUAAUAAACACGGAGACAUCGAGUGUCCAGAUUUCUAAAUGCACUGACGGGAUGUUCAGGAAGAAAACGUUCAACCAACAGUCAUGUUUCUAUCUGGGCCGAGCUCAGCAGAAACAUGUUCCUCCUGAAACCUGCUCAGAGUCCAGGGACGUCAGAGACCUGGAGGUAAAUCCUGCAGAUUCACACUGAAGGAAGGAAGGAAAAAAAAAGAAAAACAGGGGACAUGUGGACAAAUAGCUCAGGCUAUUAGACGACUCUAUAGUCAGUGUUAAGUCAUGGGUUCAAAUCUUAUGACAGUCAUGACUUUUGAAGCUCAACACCCAAAGAAACAGAGGAAAAAUGUCAAUGAAAGACCAGAGACUCUCAGUUAAAUAGCUCAGAGAGUUAAAUGACUGGUUGACACGUCUGAAGACGUAGGUUCAAAUCUUAUGACGGUCGAUCAAUUUUAAGUCCAACAGUCAAAGUAGAGACUGAAAUGGUUUAAGAAAAACAAAUAGCUCAGACUGUUAGAAGAGUCUAUGGUCAGAGUGAAGACAUGGGUUCAAAUCCUAUGACCAUCAUGACUUUUGAAGAUCAAAACUUUUAAAGUCCAGAUUCCAAUGUGACGAAGACAAAAGCGUUCAGAGAGAAGCUCGUAGCUCACGCUGAUAGAGGACUGUCUGGAGACUCUGAGAACAUGGGUUCGAAUCUUAUCGGGUUCGAAUCUUAUCAGGGUCGCUGUGUUUUGAAGUCCAGAUUCCAAAGUGAAGAGUCAAAUGUCGUACACGUCAUUGAACCACCUGUCUGGAGUUAACAUUUCAAAGGUAAAAGGCGAAACACCUGUGUGCUGUAGUGAGGGCCUCCUAUGAAAAUAAAGUAGCCUUUAUCAAUGAAACUCUUGCAAGAAGGACUGUUUUUAUUAUUUUUUAUAUUACAUUUAAAUACUAAUGCUUUUAAAAUAGAAAAAUAUUCCAUGCAUAUUUGUACUUGAAAAUAAAUAAUAUAUACAUAUGUUUUUUUAUAUGUGUUUUUUAUUAUUAUUAUUUUUAUCACAAUUUUAUUUAUUAUUUUUUAUUAUUUAUUAUUAAGACAGAAAUUCUGGUAAAUAACAGAUUGCAUUUUAAGAAGUUAUGAGUCAGUGUUCUGUGUAAUUAUCUGGAAGAAAGAUUAGUUGUAAAUAAAGUGUUAUAAAAUGUCUGUGAUUUGUAGACCAAUAAAAAGCUGUUAUUCUGGUAAAAGCCAAUAUUUUGUACAAAUAAUGUGAUUUGCAUUUUCUAUAUUAUUUUCUUUAUUGAAACUGUCAGGUGAUUUGUUGGCUUGUGUGUCCAUGAACUUCAAGAAUUUUCAGUAAAUUGUACUUAACAUAGCAAAGGUACAAAUGUGAUAAUAGUUUAUUUUAAUUUGACUGAUGCUGCUUUUAAUCAUAGGCUAUAACCACAGAUUCAUUCAUUGUGGAUUUAUCCGUCAGUUAUUUAUUCUUUGAGUAUUUGAAUAAUAAGUACUAAGUACUAUGUCAUUAUUACACCACAUUGUUUUUAUGAUCAUCAAAUAAUUAACUGAGCUGGAUACAUGUUUUUUAUGGAGAAUCAUAUUCUGAAAGUGACCAACAAUUCCAGAUGUGAGACUAAAUAUAGUUCAUUCAAAAUAUAAAAUCUUUUAUAUUUCCUUUGGUACA